CUGCUGGGUGAAUCCAACCAUAAAACCAAUUAUCAGAUAAAUCAAGGCCGAGCAGUUCUUCAAAAGGAUAAAACAUGGAGAGAUUUAGACUACAAAUUUUAUGAUAUGGAAAUAUGACCGCAUCGAGGGAAAGAUCAACGACACGCCGGGAGGUGGUAUUGCACUUAACUCUAUUCCAACCACAACAGUUGCUCAUUCUAUCUUCAACCCAUGAAUCAAGAUCAUCAUCAAGCUCACAGUUUGAUUUUAGGAAAGCCUU
rnacentral:misc_RNA from 1 species